AUUGAACGCUGGCGGCAGGCCUAACACAUGCAAGUCGAGCGGAGGAAGGGAGCUGGCUCCUGGAUUCAGCGGCGGACGGGGGAGUAAUGCCAAGGAAUCGGCCGGGUGGGGGGGGAUAACGUCCGGAAACGGGCGCUAAUACCGCAUACGUCCGGAGGGGGAAAGGGGGGGAUCUUCGGACCUCAGGCUAUCAGAUAAGCCUAGGUCGGAUUAGCUAGUUGGUGGGGUAAAGGCCUACCAAGGCGACGAUCCGUAACUGGUCUGAGAGGAUGAUCAGUCACACUGGAACUGAGACACGGUCCAGACUCCUACGGGAGGCAGCAGUGGGGAAUAUUGGACAAUGGGCGAAAGCCUGAUCCAGCCAUGCCGCGUGUGUGAAGAAGGUCUUCGGAUUGUAAAGCACUUUAAGUUGGGAGGAAGGGCAGUAAGUUAAUACCUUGCUGUUUUGACGUUACCAACAGAAUAAGCACCGGCUAACUUCGUG
rnacentral:rRNA from 1 species